rnacentral:rRNA from 1 species
GGGGAAGGGUAGCUUGCUACCUGACCUAGCGGCGGACGGGUGAGUAAUGCUUAGGAAUCUGCCUAUUAGUGGGGGACAACAUUCCGAAAGGAAUGCUAAUACCGCAUACGCCCUACGGGGGAAAGCAGGGGAUCUUCGGACCUUGCGCUAAUAGAUGAGCCUAAGUCAGAUUAGCUAGUUGGUGGGGUAAAGGCCUACCAAGGCGACGAUCUGUAGCGGGUCUGAGAGGAUGAUCCGCCACACUGGGACUGAGACACGGCCCAGACUCCUACGGGAGGCAGCAGUGGGGAAUAUUGGACAAUGGGCGAAAGCCUGAUCCAGCCAUGCCGCGUGUGUGAAGAAGGCCUUUUGGUUGUAAAGCACUUUAAGCGAGGAGGAGGCUACUGAGAUUAAUACUCUUGGAUAGUGGACGUUACUCGCAGAAUAAGCACCGGCUAACUCUGUGCCAGCAGCCGCGGUAAUACAGAGGGUGCGAGCGUUAAUCGGAUUUACUGGGGCGU